rnacentral:rRNA from 1 species
GGGAAUAUUGCACAAUGGGCGCAAGCCUGAUGCAGCCAUGCCGCGUGUGUGAAGAAGGCCUUCGGGUUGUAAAGCACUUUCAGCGAGGAGGAAGGCAGUCGUGUUAAUAGCACGAUUGAUUGACGUUACUCGCAGAAGAAGCACCGGCUAACUCCGUGCCAGCAGCCGCGGUAAUACGGAGGGUGCAAGCGUUAAUCGGAAUUACUGGGCGUAAAGCGCACGCAGGCGGUUUGUUAAGUCAGAUGUGAAAUCCCCGCGCUUAACGUGGGAACUGCAUUCGAAACUGGCAAGCUAGAGUCUUGUAGAGGGGGGUAGAAUUCCAGGUGUAGCGGUGAAAUGCGUAGAGAUCUGGAGGAAUACCGGUGGCGAAGGCGGCCCCCUGGACAAAGACUGACGCUCAGGUGCGAAAGCGUGGGGAGCAAAC